AUAUCUGCUUGACUUUAUAGAAAUAGACUAUGCUUGCAGGUUAUCUAUUACACUGUCUUGUUUUUUGUUUGCACCAAAUUUGACAGAUUAUUAUUUAGAUGCAAAAUAUUUUAAAUGAGAGCUGAAUUUUUUUUCUAUUUUUAAUGUGCAUUGUAGGUUAAAAUAAUCAUAAUGUGAAUAAGAAUGAAGAAAACAUCUUGGUCCCAAAAAA
rnacentral:lncRNA from 1 species